rnacentral:rRNA from 1 species
UACGAAGGGGGCUAGCGUUGCUCGGAAUCACUGGGCGUACAGCGCACGUAGGCGGAUUUCUAAGUCAGGGGUGAAAUCCUGGAGCUCAACUCCAGAACUGCCUUUGCUACUGGGAAUCUCGAGUCCGGGAGAGGUGAGUGGAACUGCGAGUGUAGAGGUGAAAUUCGUAGAUAUUCGCAAGAACACCAGGGGCGAAGGCGGCUCACUGGCCCGGUACUGACGCUGAGGUGCGAAAGCGUGGGGAGCAAACAGG